CCUUAAAUGAUUUUACAACAUACAAGAUGCCAAUUGUACCAAAGCAAUACUUACUAAUACGACAUGGGGAAGUUUAGUGGUUAACUUGUAGCCUGCAUACAGCACCCGAGAGGGUUGGUUGGUUGUUAUUCUGCAGAAAUGCAUGUAUAGUACAGUACCUACCUACACACGGAGCCCUUCCCCUCAACACCUGGCCACCUGGGAGAUAGAGCUCUACAGGGGAAGGACUGUAGAGGAGAGGACGUUCACCUAGGCCUUACACAUUGGCCGUGAAGUGUAUGGGUGUGUAUUUGUUUGUGUGUGUAUUUGUGUUUGUGUGUGUGUGUGUAUUUGUGAAAUGAAUCACGGAGCAAAUAGUGAAGUUGAGGUACAUCAUAAAAGGUGUGGCACAUGGUAAAUGAGCUUCUCCUCCACAGUGCAAAACCUCUAGAAGAAUUGUUAGAAGUAUUGACCAGGUCUGGGACUCAAGGUAAAUGUUCACUAUAAUAGAAAACAAUCAUAGCAACAUCAAUCAUAAUAAAAAGGGGAAUAAAAUACAUACAUGUAUACAAUAACAGUCUGUAUGUACAUAUAAAAAUAUAGCAAAGUAACUUCAACAAAUCGGAUGAGUGUGUGUGUUCAUAGGUGAAUACAAGCACACACACACACACACACACACAUGCUUGACACAGCGUGUUACUUUUCACAUCCGGUUUUGGAUAUCAGUACAUAAGACAACCACCCCCCAGACUCAGUCCCUCAGUCCGUCCGUCCCUCAGUCCGUCCGUCCCUCAGUCCCUCCAUCGCUCAGUCCCUCCAUCCCUCAGUCCGUCCGUCCCUCAGUCCGUCCAUCCCUCAGUCCCUCCAUCCCUCAGUCCCUCCAUCCCUCAGUCCCUCCGUCCCUCA
rnacentral:lncRNA from 1 species